rnacentral:lncRNA from 1 species
UCUUCUUUGCUCUCAUCUCUCCCAUCGAUUUUGAAUCCUCAAUUUCGUGUCUACGGCCUUGUUCUCUUCCUCAAGUUUGGAUGCCGUCCCAUUUUGGUCCUCUCUUCCCCAGAAUCCAUCGUUUACGGCCUCACUGGAGAGAGAGGAGACCGAGAGAAUAAAGAAUAGAUAGAGUUCGGUCGGGGGUGCUCUUCAUCUUGUCUCUGAUUUUUGUUUGGUCGUUUCAUAUUCUGCUGAAAUUUGAUCGAUCUGUUGUUUGUGGUGUUGAGAUCUGUUAAAAUAGAAUUCUUUGAUCACAAUUCUGAGUUUAGAGUUUUCAUAGUCUUGCAAAGAAAUCAGAUCUGUGUUUGCUUGUGUAGAAUCUGUGCUAUCUGUUUCUGUUUUGGUUUGAGAAGAUUGAUUAAUUUGUUUAUGUUUAUGAUUGAUCUUAUUUCAAUUGAUACUGUUAAGUUUAAGACAAUUUCGAAAUUAAUCUAAGCUGUUUAGGAUCUGAGUUUCAAUUUGAUCAGUUUCUGAUAGUGUAAAAGUUUGAAGUUUAAGUUUUAGAUUUCGAAAUUAAUUUGAUUUUUGAUUUGUUUGUUCUUGUUACAGGAAGAAGACGGAUAUGAAGAAGCUUUGCUGGUGGAGAUGGAUCCGAGCAAGAAGAAGAAAGAGAGAAAGAGGGAGAAGACAAAGACGUAAGGAAGAUGGAAGAGGAAGGUGACGAAAGAGGAAGGCAGCGGCG